GGCCUUAGCGCGGUGGUCCCACCUGACCCCAUGCCGAACUCAGAAGUGAAACGCCGUAGCGCCGAUGGUAGUGUGGGGUCUCCCCAUGCGAGAGUAGGGAACUGCCAGGCA
rnacentral:rRNA from 3 species